rnacentral:tRNA from 1 species
GAAAUAUUUUAUAUUAAACUUCUAAUUUAAUUUUAAGCAUUUAUUGUUUAUAUUUCU